rnacentral:tRNA from 1 species
GGCGCUGUGGCCCAACGGAAGAGGCAGCGGUCUGAGGGACCGCACGGUGCAGGUUCGAAUCCUGUCAGCGUCACCA